CUACGGGUGGCAGCAGUGGGGAAUAUUGGACAAUGGGGGAAACCCUGAUCCAGCAAUGCCGCGUGUGUGAAGAAGGCCUGCGGGUUGUAAAGCACUUUCGGUUGGGAGGACUGCUUCUAGCACUAAUAUUGUUGGAAGUUGACGUUACCUUCAGAAGAAGCACCGGCUAACUCCGUGCCAGCAGCCGCGGUAAUAGCGGAGGGUGCAAGCGUUAAUCGGAAUUACUGGGCGUAAAGCGCGCGUAGGCGGCUAGAUCAGUCGGGUGUGAAAGCCCCGGGCUUAACCUGGGAACUGCAUCCGAUACUGUCUAGCUUGAGUACAGGAGAGGAGAGUGGAAUUCCACAUGUAGCGGUGAAAUGCGUAGAUAUGUGGAGGAACACCAAUGGCGAAGGCAGCUCUCUGGCCUGAUACUGACGCUGAGGUGCGAAAGCGUGGGGAGCAAACAGGAUUAGAUACCCUCGUAGUC
rnacentral:rRNA from 1 species